UACAGAGGUCUCGAGCGUUGUUCGGAUUCAUUGGGCGUAAAGGGUGCGUAGGCGGGUUUUUAAGUCAGAGGUGAAAUCCUGGAGCUCAACUCCAGAACUGCCUUUGAUACUGAAAGUCUUGAGUAUGGGAGAGGUGAGUGGAACUGCGAGUGUAGAGGUGAAAUUCGUAGAUAUUCGCAAGAACACCAGUGGCGAAGGCGGCUCACUGGCCCAUAACUGACGCUGAGGCGCGAAAGCGUGGGGAGCAAACAGG
rnacentral:rRNA from 1 species